rnacentral:rRNA from 1 species
AGCGAACGCUGGCGGCAGGCCUAACACAUGCAAGUCGAACGGAUCCUUCGGGAUUAGUGGCGGACGGGUGAGUAACACGUGGGAACGUGCCCUUUGGUUCGGAACAACUCAGGGAAACUUGAGCUAAUACCGGAUGUGCCCUUCGGGGGAAAGAUUUAUCGCCAUUGGAGCGGCCCGCGUCUGAUUAGCUAGUUGGUGGGGUAAAGGCCCACCAAGGCGACGAUCAGUAGCUGGUCUGAGAGGAUGAUCAGCCACAUUGGGACUGAGACACGGCCCAAACUCCUACGGGAGGCAGCAGUGGGGAAUCUUGCGCAAUGGGCGAAAGCCUGACGCAGCCAUGCCGCGUGAAUGAUGAAGGUCUUAGGAUUGUAAAAUUCUUUCACCGGGGACGAUAAUGACGGUACCCGGAGAAGAAGCCCCGGCUAACUUCGUGCCAGCCGCCGCCGUAAGAC